UCCCGGCCCUCUUCUCGGAAGGCUCUAGAGCUCUGAGCGCCCCAGCAUUCCACCGCUUUGUGCGAAGGGGCGAACCCCGCGGGACGCGGCGUGGAGCUGCCGGCCCCUCCCGUGAGUCGCGGUGGCCGCCCGCGCCGCACCCACUUCCUCUUUCCCUUCCGCGCGCCAGCCAACCGCUCGCCAAAAAUUCCUGUCACUUCUGACAGGAAGCGAGGAGGCCGCGCCGGGGCGACCAGCCGCGCAUCUCCGCCGCGCCCGCCCGCCCGCCCGGGACCUGGUCCGCUGCAGGGUCCCGCCGGCGCCUGGGCCGCAGCCCCGCCCGGUCCUCCACCCCCGGCUGGGCCCAAACCUCCGUCCCCGCCUUGGCUGCGGCCCGCCCGGUCUUCCUUCCCUCCCCGUCCCCGCCGCUCGGCCCUGCGUCCCCACCCGGCCCAGUCCUCGGUGCCCCGGUAGCCCGGUCUUCAGCCGCCGCGCAGGCAGGUCCUCCGUCGCGGUGGCGGCCGGCUCCUGGGGCGCGAGCCCGCCAUGGAGGUGGAGGAGGCGUUCCAGGCGGUGGGCGAGAUGGGCCUCUACCAGAUGUACUUAUGCUUCCUGCUGGCCGUGCUGCUGCAGCUUUAUGUGGCCACAGAAGCCAUCCUCAUAGCUUUGAUUGGAGCCACACCAGCAUACCACUGGGACAUGGCAGAGAUCCUACCCAACCAAAGCCACAGCAACCAGUCUGCGGACAAAGGGCAGGCCUUCGGGGACUGGCUUCUGACCGCCAAUGGCAGCGAGAUCCAUAAACACGUGCAUUUCAGCAACAGCUUCACCUCUAUUGCCUCUGAGUGGUUUUUAAUUGCCAACCGAUCUUACAAAGUCAGUGCGGCCAGCUCCUUUUUCUUCAGUGGUGUGUUUGUUGGCGUUAUCUCCUUUGGUCAGCUUUCAGAUCGAUUUGGAAGGAAAAAAGUCUAUCUCACAGGUUUUGCUCUUGACAUCUUAUUUGCUAUCGCAAAUGGAUUUUCCCCCUCAUAUGAAUUCUUUGCAGUAACUCGAUUCUUGGUGGGCGUGAUGAAUGGAGGGAUGUCCCUGGUGGCCUUUGUCUUGCUAAACGAGUGCGUGGGCACCGCCUACUGGGCACUUGCAGGAUCGAUUGGUGGUCUCUUCUUUGCUGUUGGCAUCGCGCAGUAUGCCCUGUUAGGGUACUUCAUCCGCUCCUGGAGGACCCUAGCUGUUCUGGUCAACCUCCAGGGAACAGUAGUCUUUCUCUUAUCUUUAUUCAUUCCUGAAUCACCUCGUUGGUUAUACUCCCAGGGUCUGCUGAGUGAGGCGGAAGAGGCUCUGUACUUCAUUGCCAGGAGGAACCGCAAGCUCAAGUGCACAUUCUCACUAACACAUCCGGCCAACAGGAGCCACAGGGAAACUGGAAGCUUCCUGGAUCUGUUUCGUUACCGGAUCCUCCUAGGACACACUCUGAUCCUGAUGUUCAUCUGGUUUGUGUGUAGCCUGGUGUACUACGGCCUCACCCUGAGUGCGGGUGACCUUGGGGGCAGCAUUUAUGCCAACCUGGCUUUAUCUGGUCUCAUAGAGAUCCCAUCCUACCCUCUCUGCAUCUACCUGAUUAACCAAAGAUGGUUUGGUCGGAAGCGGACACUAGCAGCGUUUCUGUGCCUUGGAGGACUGGCCUGUCUUAUUGUGAUGUUUCUUCCAGAAAAAAAAGACACAGGUGUGUUUGCGGUGGUCAACAGCCACUCCUUGUCCCUGCUGGGGAAGCUGACGAUCAGUGCUGCCUUUAACAUUGUUUACAUCUACACCUCUGAGCUGUACCCCACUGUCAUCAGAAACGUUGGCCUCGGAACGUGCUCCAUGUUCUCCCGAGUUGGUGGGAUCAUCGCUCCCUUCGUCCCCUCCCUGGUUGAAGCACGUGCAGUGGUCUCUGCCCUUCAUUGUAUUUGGAGCCACAGGCCUGACCUCAGGCCUCCUGAGCCUGCUGUUGCCAGAGACUCUGAACAGCCCUUUGCUGGAGACAUUUUCUGAUCUUCAAAUGUACUCGUACAGGAGGUUAGGGGAGGAGGCGCUAUCUCUGCAGACCUUGGAUCCCCCACAGCCCCUGGACAAGGCCAGCAGUGAGAGUGAAGAGGAGGAAGAGUUCUACGAUGCAGAUGAGGAGACGCAGAUGAUCAAGUGAAGAGCCUACAUUCCUGCCCAGAAGCAAGCCCCAUCAUCCUUAGUGCCUCGUUCAGCUUCAGCACCAGAGAUGUACUCAGCCCACAUUGAUGCUUUCCAGACAGGAGAGGCGGUGGAGGAGAGAUUCCAAAAGGGAGAACUUGUUGCAUUAAGUCAUUGCUGACUUGUUCGGGACUGAGGCUGAACUCAGCACCAUGCCUCUGGCUGCACAGUUCAGAUCCACCUUGUAGGACUCAUGUAUCAUGCUGCUUCCCUUCCUCGGGACCUAAGAGCGGGUGUGUGAAACUGCUCGCACUUUAACUAGGGUUAGCCAGACCUUCCCCGAGAUUUCAUCUCCCUAGCAAGUUUCACAUCAUCCUUGUCACUUGCUUCUCCCCACCAAGAAUCUUCUGGUGCAGGCUGAUGUGUACAGAGCUCCCAGCUUCCCGUCAGCUCACAGGCUGGUUCCCAGCUCACUGGUUGCCGGUGCAGCUUGUGCCUUUAGUCUGAGGUCAUUCACUAAUAAACGGAGAAUCAACGGAG